rnacentral:rRNA from 1 species
AGCGAACGCUGGCGGCAGGCCUAACACAUGCAAGUCGAACGAACCUUUCGGGGUUAGUGGCGGACGGGUGAGUAACACGUGGGAACGUGCCUUUAGGUUCGGAAUAACUCAGGGAAACUUGUGCUAAUACCGAAUGUGCCCUUCUGGGGAAAGAUUUAUCGCCUUUAGAGCGGCCCGCGUCUGAUUAGCUAGUUGGUUGAGGUAAUGGCUCACCAAGGCGACGAUCAGUAGCUGGUCUGAGAGGAUGAUCAGCCACAUUGGGACUGAGACACGGCCCAAACUCCUACGGGACGCAGCAGUGGGGAAUCUUGCGCAAUGGGCGAAAGCCUGACGCAGCCAUGCCGCGUGAAUGAUGAAGGUCUUAGGAUUGUAAAAUUCUUUCACCGGGGACGAUAAUGACGGUACCCGGAGAAGAAGCCCCGGCUAACUUCGUG